GGUGAUGUUGCUUGCUGGAACGGA
rnacentral:siRNA from 1 species